UACGUAGGGUGCAAGCGUUGUCCGGAAUUAUUGGGCGUAAAGAGCUCGUAGGUGGCGGGUCACGUCGGGUGUGAAAGCCCGGGGCUUAACCCCGGGUCUGCAUUCGAUACGGGUCUGCUGGGGUCCGGCAGGGGAGACUGGAAUUCCUGGUGUAGCGGUGAAAUGCGCAGAUAUCAGGAGGAACACCGGUGGCGGAAGGCGGGUCUCUGGGCCGGUACCGACGCUGGAGGAGCGAAAGCGUGGGGAGCGAACAGG
rnacentral:rRNA from 1 species